rnacentral:misc_RNA from 1 species
UCGAGAGCCUGUGCCAUAAGCCCUUUGGCCAUGCCCUAGCGGCGGUGCACAGCUCACACCACACCCUCGUUUACGCGUACCCUUUGUUAUUCCCUCGGCGGGGACGCCCGUCGAUGGGAAGCCCAUCAAACCUCUUGCAUCAGCAUCAAAACUUCUGAGCGCAACCUAAACAUUUA